rnacentral:tRNA from 1 species
UCGCCGACCUGGUCGGGGCGCGGCUGGACCGGCAGGCGAUCCUGACCCGGGAGCGGGGGCCGCUGUUCGUCGCGGUGGUCGACGAGC